GGACAACCUGCCCUUAGGUUGGGUAUAAACCCGGGAAACUGGGUAUAAUCCCCUAUAAGUCUCGGCUGCUGGAAUGCACCGAGAUUAAAAGCUCCGGCGCCUAAGGAUGGGUCUGCGGCCUAUCAGGUAGUAGUGGGUGUAGCGUACCUACUAGCCUACGACGGGUACGGGUUGUGAGAGCAAGAGCCCGGAGAUGGAUUCUGAGACACGAAUCCAGGCCCUACGGGGUGCAGCAGGCGCGAAAACUUUACAAUGUUGGCAACAGCGAUAAGGGAACCUCGAGUGCCAGGUUACAAAUCUGGCUGUCGAGAUGCCUAAAAAGCAUUUCAUAGCAAGGGCCGGGCAAGACCGGUGCCAGCCGCCGCGGUAACACCGGCGGCUCGAGUGGUAACCGUUAUUAUUGGGUCUAAAGGGUCUGUAGCCGGCCGGAUAAGUCUCUUGAGAAAUCUGGCAGCUUAACUGUCAGGCUUUCAGGAGAUACUGUCUGGCUCGAGGCCGGGAGAGGUGAGAGGUACUUCAGGGGUAGGGGUGAAAUCUUGUAAUCCUUGAAGGACCACCAGUGGCGAAGGCGUCUCACCAGAACGGAUCCGACGGCAAGGGACGAAAGCUAGGGGCACGAACCGGAUUAGAUACCCGGGUAGUCCUAGCCGUAAACGAUACUCGCUAGGUGUCGGCCACGGUGCGACCGUGGUCGGUGCCGUAGGGAAGCCGUGAAGCGAGCCACCUGGGAAGUACGGCCGCAAGGCUGAAACU
rnacentral:rRNA from 1 species